GGAAGUAAAAGUCGUAACAAGUUUUCCGUAGGUGAACCUGCGGAAGGAUCAUUAUUGUAUAACCGAGGUGCGAGGGCUGUCGCUGACCCGAAAGGUCGUGCACGCCCGAGUGCCCUCACACACAUCCAUCUCACCCCUAUGUGCACCACCGCGUGGGUCUCCCUUUGGCUUGUUCGGAGGGGGGCUUACGUUUUCACACAAACUUUGUAUGCAGUGUAGAAUGUAUUUUUUGUUUUUGCGAUCACGCAAUCAAUACAACUUUCAACAACGGAUCUCUUGGCUCUC
rnacentral:misc_RNA from 1 species